rnacentral:rRNA from 1 species
GUAGGUGGCAAGCGUUGUCCGGAAUUAUUGGGGCGUAAAGCGCGCGCAGGCGGUCCUUUAAGGUCUGAUGUGAAAGCCCACGGGCUCAACCGUGGAGGGUCAUUGGAAACUGGGGACUUGAGUACAGAAGAGGAAAGCGGAAUUCCACGUGUAGCGGUGAAAUGCGUAGAGAUGUGGAGGAACACCAGUGGCGAAGGCGGCUUUCUGGUCUGUAACUGACGCUGAGGCGCGAAAGCGUGGGGAGCAAACAGGAUUAGAUACCCUGGUAGUCCACGCCGUAAACGAUGAGUGCUAAGUGUUAGGGGGUUUCCGCCCCUUAGUGCUGCAGCUAACGCAUUAAGCACUCCGCCUGGGGAGUACGGCCGCAAAGGCUGA